AUGUUGUGGAACUACGUGUGCGCGCGUGGGGGAGAGGGGGGGUGUGCAGUUUGUGAGGUAUUGGCCCUCUCUAAAGCCAAUAACCCCAAGCUUGUCUUUCUUUGUGAAACUAGACAAGCUUUAGAUAAAGUUGAGAAGUUAAGAUGGAGACUAGGUGUGAAAGGUUUCCAUGUAGUGAGUAGUGAUGAAAGAAGUGGAGGUUUGGCACUUUUCUCGGAUGAGUCUUUAUUAGUGACUGUACUUGAUGCAUGCAACAUGUACAUUGAUGUUAAUAUUUUGGAUGGUGGAUCUGGUAUUUCUUGGAGGGGGACCUUUGUGUAUGGGGAACCAAGAGUUGAAAACAUAUAG
rnacentral:rRNA from 1 species